rnacentral:rRNA from 1 species
GAUGAACGCUGGCGGCGUGCCUAAUACAUGCAAGUCGAGCGAACAGACGAGGAGCUUGCUCCUCUGACGUUAGCGGCGGACGGGUGAGUAACACGUGGAUAACCUACCUAUAAGACUGGGAUAACUUCGGGAAACCGGAGCUAAUACCGGAUAAUAUAUUGAACCGCAUGGUUCAAUAGUGAAAGACGGUUUUGCUGUCACUUAUAGAUGGAUCCGCGCCGCAUUAGCUAGUUGGUAAGGUAACGGCUUACCAAGGCGACGAUGCGUAGCCGACCUGAGAGGGUGAUCGGCCACACUGGACCUGAGCCACGGUCCAGCCUCCUACGGGAGGCAGCAGUAGGGAAUCUUCCGCAAUGGGCGAAAGCCUGACGGAGCAACGCCGCGUGAGUGAUGAAGGUCUUCGGAUCGUAAAACUCUGUUAUUAGGGAAGAACAAAUGUGUAAGUAACUAUGCACGUCUUGACGGUACCUAAUCAGAAAGCCACGGCUAACUACGCG